UUUUGUUCUUUCGACAACUUCAUGUUUCCUUAUUGGCUUUUGUUUUCUUUUGGUCCUAGUUCUAACUUCACAUUCCUUAUUAGUUCUCUUCCUUUUCUUCAUACUUCACAGCUCCUUAAGGAUUCAACUCCGAGGUCACUACCAAGUUUCUUCAAUUUUUAAUCUCUUUUGUGCCUCUCUUCUCUUUCAUGUUGCCACCACCAACUUGGAUCUUAGGAAUUUUUUAAGACAAAGGCAUCAAGUAAGAAAGAUAAAGACAAGCUUUGGAUGGCUAGCCCUAACUUUUCAAUCUUGGUUUGUGGACUUCAAUCUCACUAACUAAUUUGGGGCUUUUGUUGGGUUUAUCGGGGAGAGAGUGGAGGCCGGAGCAAGUAGGUAUGAACUAGGGUGUAAAACUUUCACGUACUUGUACUUUUGUAAAUGAGACGUAUUUGAAAUCUUUGGAAAUGUAAUCCUAUGAUUUACCUUUGGAUUGUAAAUUAAGUUUGAAUUACUGGUUGGAAAUGGAACUUUUAUGU